rnacentral:rRNA from 1 species
GCCGACAGCCACGUCACUGUGAACAUGCCCAAUCUCAUCUGACCUCGGAAGCUAAGCGAGGUGGGGCCUGGUUAGCAUUCAGUGGGAGAAAUGAACACAACACAACCAGCCAAGACAUGGUCCUGGGAA